AGAGUGUUUACAAAAGUGAUUCAAAGAAAUAAACUUUGAACUCUUAUAAAUUAUUUAUAGUUUGAAAUAUAUGCUAGCUCAAGUGACCAUCCUCAAUAAGAAGUAUAGAAGAAGUACUUAGACUUAUAGAAGGUCGUGCCCACCGGCGCUUAACACCAAUCACAAUCAAAGUGACUCGUAACCUGCAGCAACAAUGGGAAUAAAACCCUAAGUACGCAAGUACUCAGCAAGACUUACCCGACUAAAAAAAGACUCUCAAGGAUAUGCUGGCUAGAGGGAGUCAAGGUAAAGCUUAUCAAGAAUCAAAGACUCUUUUGCAGAAAUGCUUACUAAUAAUGGAUCCUUAAAAAUUCAGUUUUAUUGUCAGGUUAAGUGAAGUUACCUGUAUCUACAGUUCUUUCUAUCCUAGUUCAAGCACUUGGCCUACACUAGCCGUCUUUUUAUCAUCCCAUCAGUUCACUGGAUUGCUACGUGUAAGUCAGUGACCAAGUCUUCAUGUCCGAGAAGUAACGGCGAUCCGAAUCGAUUAAUACUCAGCUGAGGAUCUCCAAUCACACGACAUAUGUAGCACUUAACCCUUGCAUAUGUCAACUCGCCACCAGGUUUCUUGAGACCAGACUGGGUUCACGCCAACCGAGAGCACAGAUACACCACCGUCCAGCCUCUUGCCACGGAGGGUACACGCUACUCUCGCCAUCUCUCCACUCCCAUUGUGUGUUGGCCUUUCUGGUACUAGUCUGCCUGAGGCAAAUCUUACCCAUGACGAGGCAUGUGACCAGUUAAAGGGUCCUCGGUCAGCAUGCCCACAUCGACACGGUCCUUAAUCGACUCAGACGGAGACAUUACACCGAGACUCCCUUCUCGUGCAAGUCAACCGCCCGGUCUCAGCUUUAUUAUUUAAACCCAAAGUUUGGUACCUAGCAGAUGUACAUCUUUUUCGAUGUUGAACCCAUCAAGGCCUUUGACGAAUUCACCAUCAUAAGUAUUUGCUUUUUGAAAACAUUCCCACCCACUGAAACAUCACUUUUUUUUAAAACAAAACAUUUUUGUUUGCUAAAGCAAGGCUAAGCAUCAUAAAAUUCUUUUCAAAAAGGGUAUCAAGGAAGGGUAAUCAAUUUUUCAAGGAAGAAAAUGCAUCAAUUGUUUAGCAUACAACUCCUAUCACCUAAUGCAUCAAACAAGAUGAUAAAUAUUUUAAAACCACAAGGAGGUGGCAAAUGCACCGGGGCUUGCCUGGAAUAAACACUACGUUAGUGUUUGUUAGAUGUUGUCCACUUGACGACCAUCCUUUUGUGUGGCACUUGUUCAGCUUGCCCAUCUUCAGAUUCGUCCAUCAGCUUCAUUAUGCGGAGUAGUCCACCCAUUACGUCAUCUUGGGGUCGACUCGGCUCUUGUUCUCCGCAUCACGUGGUUAAUCAACGUACCUAAAUGAUUUGCAUAAUGCACAUGAAUGCAUAUAGACAGGAAUAUCACAAACCUAAAUAGUGCUACGCGAUAGCGAAUUAAACACCUAGCGGCGAGGCGUUGUACAAUUUCAUACGUAAACACUAGUUAUCGACAUACGACUACGCGCAAUAAUCACAAAAUAAUAAACUAUACAUACUAAUUACAGCACGCGCAUUUCUCCUGUUCAAUCACAUCUAAUUUUAUUAUCAAGCAAGAAUAAAUUAUAAACACACACUAUCAUUUUUAGUAAAAUAUUUUUCAGAGGUCAAACCUGGACUUGCUAUUAUUAAAUGCCAACGACUUAAAAUAGUUAUAGAAACAAUCUAAUUAACUCUUUAAACUGUGUAUCUUUAUUAACUUGAUUUAAUGAUUUAUCUAAAUCGAACAUCACAAUAUACGUAUGCUAAAUUAAUAACAAUUAUUGUGACCAACAAUUCUAUUUAAUCUAUUUAUAUACCUAGUUGACUGGAAUAAUGAAUCAACUUACCAUCAAUUAAAUCCGACUUGAAACAACGAAAUCGACGACGCCUUUCAGCUUAGCAUUUCACCGAAAAUAGGGUGAGUGUUGCGUCGAAUCGCGUUUCAUCUUCAUCCAUAUCG
rnacentral:lncRNA from 1 species